AUUUUCGCGCACUAAAGCAAAUAGAGAAUAAUAGCAUUUUAACCAAUCAAAAAGCCGCUAAAACUUGGCAGCGAAACGAACUAGUGCGCAUCAUUGUGCGCAUGUCGUCAGUCUACAGUUGAAAAGUGUAGUGAUAGGACUCGUUUCGUGGAUAAAAAUCAUCGUUUGAUCGAAGCAUCAAAAGUGGAUGGGAUGGAAUGUAACGCACGUUUUUUGCACACAUUACGACAAUUGAGAGAUAAUUUGACGUGUAAUUUCCGUGUAAACAUAUGUAACUGAUUAUUGAGGUUACUUUAAGCGGGAAAAGAAUUUUCAAUAUGGACACCAUGAUGACAAUUCACGGGAGAAGAAGUAAAGUUUAAAUCGUCGUAUCGAAGAAAAAGAUAUAUAUUAUAUUGUGACUGCGCGCAAUGCGGUCAGUAGAUUCAGUGCUUGUUUCGUAAUAGUAUUUUUAAAUGUUUUCGUGCACAGUAGUUUUAAGUAAAUUUAAUUAUAAUAAAUAUACGCGAAAUUAAAGUCAAUGAUCAUUCGCCGAUUAAAGAAUACAAGGAACGCGUUAAAUUAGUUUUUUAUUAUUUUUCUAUUUUAAAUAUAUUCAUUUUCGGUAGAAGAGUAGAAUCAAUAUUUGUGUGAAGAAAAUAA